rnacentral:rRNA from 1 species
UACGUAGGGGGCAAGCGUUGUCCGGAAUCAUUGGGCGUAAAGAGCGUGUAGGCGGCCAGAUAAGUCCGCUGUGAAAACUCGAGGCUCAACUUCGAGCUGUCGGUGGAAACUAUUUGGCUAGAGUCCGGAAGAGGAGAGUGGAAUUCCUGGUGUAGCGGUGAAAUGCGCAGAUAUCAGGAGGAACACCUAUUGCGAAGGCAGCUCGCUGGGACGUAACUGACGCUGAGACGCGAAAGCGUGGGGAGCAAACAGG